CAGAGAAUAGUUUAUAAAAAUUUUAAUUUUGGAGAUUAAAGAUAGAAGAAAUUUCUUUCUCUGA
rnacentral:tRNA from 1 species